UUGAUUGAAUCAAGUUACAAGAUAUUAGAACAAGAGUUUAAAACAAAUACAAGCUUCUUAAACAACCAGAUAUAACAAUAUAAACAAAUAGAGUAAAGAGAAGAAGCCCUCAAACAAGUUUUGUAGAUGAAGAAACUCGGCUUCUUCUUUACUUGACCCUCUUCUGAUUUCGCACGAGGUAGAGGAUCACUGAGGCAGCACACAGUUGGAGAGGAAGCUUUGGGAUUCACUCGGAUGCUCUUCUUCUCUUUCUUUUGCUUUGAAUGGCCCUUUUGUGCUUUUGGGAGGUUUCUCUUGAAAUCUCUUUGAAAUCUCUUCCCUAUGUGUUCUCUCCCACUUCCUUAACUUCUUCCCUAGCUCUCCCCUUGAUUUUAUAGCUUUGGAUGGCGUGGGAACAAAGAUCUAGCCGUUAGAGACAAAAAUAGAGCCGUUGGAGUUGAGAAAAAACUAGCCGUUAUGCCUCCCA
rnacentral:lncRNA from 1 species